rnacentral:tRNA from 1 species
GGGGCAAUGGCUCAGUGGUAGAGCGCUUGCCUAGGAUGCAUGAGACACUGGGUUCAAUCCCCCUCACCACA